rnacentral:rRNA from 1 species
GGCUCAGAAUCAACGCUGGCGGCGCGCUUAACACAUGCAAGUCGCACGAGAAAGGGGAGCAAUCCCUGAGUAAAGUGGCGUACGGGUGAGUAACACGUGGAUAAUCUACCUUCUAGUGGGGAAUAACCCAGGGAAACCGGGGCUAAUACCGCAUAAGCUCGAGAGAGGAAAGCAGCAAUGCGCUGGAAGAGGAGUCCGCGGCCGAUUAGCUAGUUGGCAGGGUAAAAGCCUACCAAGGCAUAGAUCGGUAGCCGGCCUGAGAGGGCACACGGCCACACUGGCACUGAAACACGGGCCAGACUCCUACGGGAGGCAGCAGUGGGGAAUCUUGCACAAUGGGGGAAACCCUGAUGCAGCGACGCCGCGUGAGCGAUGAAGCCCUUCGGGGUGUAAAGCUCUUUCGGCAGGGAAGAUUAUGACGGUACCUGCAGAAGCAGCUGCGGCUAACUACGUGCCAGCAGCCGCGGUAAUACGUAGGCAGCGAGCGUUGUUCGGAGUUACUGGGCGUAAAGGGUGUGUAGGCGGUUGUUUAAGUUUGGUGUGAAAUCUCCCGGCUCAACUGGGAGGGUGCGCCGAAUACUGAAUGACUAGAGUGCGGGAGAGGUGAGUGGAAUUCCUGGUGUAGCGGUGAAAUGCGUAGAUAUCAGGAGGAACACCGGUGGUGUAGACGGCUCACUGGACCGUAACUGACGCUGAGACACGAAAGCGUGGGUAGCAAACAGGAUUAGAUACCCUGGUAGUCCACGCCCUAAACGAUGCAUAUUUGGUGUGGGCAGUUCAUUCUGUCCGUGCCGGAGCUAACGCGUUAAAUAUGCCGCCUGGGGAGUACAGUCGCAAGGCUGAAACUU